rnacentral:rRNA from 1 species
AAAAUUUAAUUUUUUUUAUGUUAACCUAACACAAGAGCAUUUCAAGUAAGAUUAAAAGAAAAAGAAGGAACUCGGCAAAUAUUAACCUCGCCUGUUUACCAAAAACAUCGCUCUUGCCCCAAUAUAAGAGGUCCAGCCUGCCCAGUGACUCUGUUCAACGGCCGCGGUAUCCUAACCGUGCGAAGGUAGCGUAAUCACUUGUUCUUUAAAUGAGGACUAGUAUGAACGGCACCACGAGGGUUAUACUGUCUCUUUUUCCAAUCAGUGAAACUAAUCCCCCCGUGAAGAAGCGGGGAUAAACAUAUAAGACGAGAAGACCCUAUGGAGCUUUAAACUCAAUAACACUUGCUUUUAAACAUAAAUACUUCAGAGUAAUAACACCCAUUACGGCCUCCUGAUUAUUAGUUUUAGGUUGGGGUGACCGCGGAGCAAAAAACAACCUCCACAUUGAACGGGGAACAUCCCCUGAGCCACGAGCCACAACUCUAUGCACCAAUAAAUUGACAUCUCUUGACCCAAUAUAUUGAUCAACG